AUUGAACGCUGGCGGAAUGCUUUACACAUGCAAGUCGAACGGCAGCACGGACUUCGGUCUGGUGGCGAGUGGCGAACGGGUGAGUAAUAUACCGGAACGUGCCCAGUCGUGGGGGAUAACGUAGCGAAAGCUACGCUAAUACCGCAUACGAUCUACGGAUGAAAGCGGGGGAUCGCAAGACCUCGCGCGAUUGGAGCGGCCGAUAUCAGAUUAGGUAGUUGGUGAGGUAAAGGCUCACCAAGCCGACGAUCUGUAGCUGGUCUGAGAGGACGACCAGCCACACUGGGACGGAGACACGGCCCAGACUCCUACGGGAGGCAGCAGUGGGGAAUUUUGGACAAUGGACGCAAGUCUGAUCCAGCCAUUCCGCGUGCAGGACGAAGGCCUUCGGGUUGUAAACUGCUUUUGUACAGAACGAAAAGGUCUCUAUUAAUACUAGGGGCUCAUGACGGUACUGUAGGAAUAAGCACCGGCUAACUACGUGCCAGCAGCCGCCGUAA
rnacentral:rRNA from 1 species